rnacentral:rRNA from 1 species
UCCUGACUGACCGAUAGUGAACCAGUACCGUGAGGGAAAGGCGAAAAGAACCCCGGCGAGGGGAGUGAAAAAGAACCUGAAACCGUGUACGUACAAGCAGUGGGAGCACGCUUAGGCGUGUGACUGCGUACCUUUUGUAUAAUGGGUCAGCGACUUAUAUUCUGUAGCAAGGUUAACCGAAUAGGGGAGCCGAAGGGAAACCGAGUCUUAACUGGGCGUUAAGUUGCAGGGUAUAGACCCGAAACCCGGUGAUCUAGCCAUGGGCAGGUUGAAGGUUGGGUAACACUAACUGGAGGACCGAACCGACUAAUGUUGAAAAAUUAGCGGAUGACUUGUGGCUGGGGGUGAAAGGCCAAUCAAACCGGGAGAUAGCUGGUUCUCCCCGAAAGCUAUUUAGGUAGCGCCUCGUGAAUUCAUCUCCGGGGGUAGAGCACUGUUUCGGCAAGGGGGUCAUCCCGACUUACCAACCCGAUGCAAACUGCGAAUACCGGAGAAUGUUAUCACGGGAGACACACGGCGGGUGCUAACGUCCGUCGUGAAGAGGGAAACAACCCAGACCGCCAGCUAAG